rfam:Trachymyrmex cornetzi contig54974, whole genome shotgun sequence.
UAAACGGCCCUUUUCAGGGCCACAUAAAUUGUAAAUAUA